UUGGAGGGCAAGUCUGGUGCCAGCAGCCGCGGUAAUUCCAGCUCCAAUAGCGUAUAUUAAAGUUGUUGCAGUUAAAAAGCUCGUAGUUGAACUUCGGGGUCUACCCAUUGGUCAGGCUUAAUUGUCUGUACUGGUGAGAUGGAUCUCUACCUUCUGAGGAAUUUUCAUGCCAUUUAUGUGGUGUGAUGGGAAAUCAGGACUGUUACUUUGAAAAAAUUAGAGUGUUUAAAGCAGACUAUCGUCUGAAUACAUCAGCAUGGAAUAAUGAAAUAGGACGGACUGAUUCUAUUUCGUUGGUUUCUAGGAUCACCGUAAUGAUUAAUAGGGAUAGUUGGGGGCAUUAGUAUUCAAUUGUCAGAGGCGAAAUUCUUGGAUUUAUUGAAGACUAACUACUGCGAAAGCAUUUGCCAAGGAUGUUUUCAUUAAUCAAGAACGAAAGUUAGGGGAUCGAAGACGAUCAGAUACCGCCGUAGUCUUAACCAUAAACUAUGCCGACUAGGGAUCGGACGAAGUUAAUUUUAUAAUGACGCGUUCGGCGCCUUACGGGAAAC
rnacentral:rRNA from 1 species